GACAGAGGUGCCGAGCGUUAGGCGGAAUCACUGGGCUUAAAGCGUGUGUAGGCGGGUCGUUAAGUGUCUUGUGAAAUCCCCCGGCUCAACCGGGGAAUGGCUGGGCAUACUGGCGAUCUUGAGCAGUCUAGGGGCAGAUGGAACAAGUGGUGGAGCGGUGAAAUGCGUAGAGAUCGGAAAGAACACCAACGGCGAAAGCACUCUGCUGGGCCGACACUGACACUGAGAGACGAAAGCUAGGGGAGCGAAUGGG
rnacentral:rRNA from 1 species